rnacentral:misc_RNA from 1 species
CAACCCUCAGCUACCCGCUGGUUUUGAACCCGAACGGUUUCCCCCUAAUAGGGGAUCCGAGCCGGUUUUAAAGUUGUAAGCUCUGCUGGCCGCUCCGCCUCCAACCAGAACAUAGUAAAACACUACUUUUGUUAGGGUCAAGCGGAACGGUUUUUCGGCCUGGAAAAAACCUACCCAUUUCUCAAG